AACGAACGCUGGCGGCAGGCUUAACACAUGCAAGUCGAGCGCCCCGCAAGGGGAGCGGCAGACGGGUGAGUAACGCGUGGGAAUCUACCCAUCUCUACGGAAUAACGCAUGGAAACGUGUGCUAAUACCGUAUACGUCCUUCGGGAGAAAGAUUCAUCGGAGAUGGAUGAGCCUGCGUUGGAUUAGCUAGUUGGUGGGGUAAAGGCCUACCAAGGCGACGAUCCAUAGCUGGUCUGAGAGGAUGAUCAGCCACACUGGGACUGAGACACGGCCCAGACUCCUACGGGAGGCAGCAGUGGGGAAUAUUGGACAAUGGGCGCAAGCCUGAUCCAGCCAUGCCGCGUGAGUGAUGAAGGCCCUAGGGUUGUAAAGCUCUUUCACCGGUGAAGAUAAUGACGGUAACCGGAGAAGAAGCCCCGGCUAACUUCGUGCCAGCCGCCGCGGUAAUAC
rnacentral:rRNA from 1 species